rnacentral:lncRNA from 1 species
UGUAUACAUGAGAUCUAUAUUAAUUGCUCAAAUUAUUAGGAAAAUGGAACUAUUACAUAGGAUUCUUCAAGUCCUCAAUUAUGUCAUGGCUAUUUAUACAAAAUCUUGGGCUCUCUUAAUAUUUCUUUUACAUUUAGCCUCAAGCGAAAAUGCAAUUGAUAUGGCUUUUUGAUCAACUCAUAAAUGAAUCUGUCGUUUUCCUUUAAGAAAACUCUUGUUAAAACUCUGUUUGCAACCCUAAAGUAGUGAUACAAUGCUUACUCAAAUAGCAUUAUUGUUUUUUCAAAUAGUGAUAAAAUGCUUACUUAAUAUAUAUAGAAUUUUUUUUUUAAAAUAAAUGGGUUGGUGGUGUCAUUAGGCUAAGUGGAAAAGAUAAUAUUAACAAAAAGUAAUAUUUUUAGUAUUUCAUGUUAAAUAAGAAUUUGAUAAUAAUUUUUUUCCGCUGAUUUAUUUUCCAAAUUCCUCAUUGUACAACAAUUAUUUAUGCAAACCAAUCCAAAAACAAGAAAGUCUGUGAUGUAGAUUUCUAAGUCCACAAAAAGCAAAAUGUUGAGCAAUGCGUUUGUGAUCAAUUCAUGAAUAAAUAUGUGAUUUUCCUCUUUUUGCUUGAAGAAAACUCCUAUUAAAACUCUGUUUGCAACCCAAAGUUUCCUAAGUGUAAUACAAUGCUUGCUUAAUAUAGCAUUGUUGUUUUUUCAAAUAAAUGGGUUGGUGGUAUCAUCAUGCUGAGUGGAAAAGAUAAUAACAAAAAAUAAUGAUUUUAGUAUUUUGCGUUAAAAUAGAAUUUGAUAAUAAAAUUUUCGCUGCUUUAUUUUUCCAAAUUCCUCAUUACAACAAUUAUUUAUGGAAACGAAAAAAAAAAAAAGUUUUCUGAUGUAGAUUCCCAAGUACAGAAAAAGCAAAAUAUUGAGCAAUGCAUAGCAACGCGGCUAGCAUGCAACUUCUGAAUUUUGGCACCAAAGCUAUUAAAUUUGAAGAAUUUGAAAGCCAUUGAACCAUUUUUAAGGACUUUUUGCCACCGCAUGCAUGGUAAGCUUUGGCUAGAAAAGUAAUUUGCCAUUUGAGACCGUCCCAAAAUGUGGAGUGCGAGAGCUUAUGUGAUAAGUUCUCUAAGAAAAUGCAAAGAGAGUUGUAGGACGUGCAAAUGACCGCUUAAAAAUGCUUGUGAAAGGGUGCUCAGUAUGUACAUUUGAGAGAUGUGAGAGACUUUGGAAGAUUAUUUUGGGUAAAAAUUUAUUUAAUCCCUGUAUUUUAAGAUUAUUAUUUAUUUAGUUCCUAUAUUUUAAAAAAUAUCUUGAAAUAUCCCUGCCGUUAAAGUAUUGAUACCCUUAUCAAUAUUUUUUAUUUCUU